AUUGAACGCUGGCGGCAGGCUUAACACAUGCAAGUCGAGCGGAGAGAGGUAGCUUGCUACUGAUCUUAGCGGCGGACGGGUGAGUAAUGCUUAGGAAUCUGCCUAUUAGUGGGGGACAACAUUUCGAAAGGAAUGCUAAUACCGCAUACGUCCUACGGGAGAAAGCAGGGGAUCUUCGGACCUUGCGCUAAUAGAUGAGCCUAAGUCGGAUUAGCUAGGUGGUGGGGUAAAGGCCUACCAAGGCGACGAUCUGUAGCGGGUCUGAGAGGAUGAUCCGCGCCACUGGGACUGAGACACGGCCCAGACUCCUACGGGAGGCAGCAGUGGGGAAUAUUGGACAAUGGGCGCAAGCCUGAUCUAGCCAUGCCGCGUGUGUGAAGAAGGCCUUAUGGUUGUAAAGCACUUUAAGCGAGGAGGAGGCUACUUUAGUUAAUACCUAGAGAUAGUGGACGUUACUCGCAGAAUAAGCACCGGCUAACUCCGUGCCAGCCGCCGCCGUAAGAC
rnacentral:rRNA from 1 species